rnacentral:rRNA from 1 species
GGCGAACGGGUGAGUAACGCGUGAGGAACCUGCCUCAAAGAGGGGGACAACAGUUGGAAAUGACUGCUAAUACCGCAUAAGCACACAGUACCGCAUGGUACAGAGUGAAAAACUCCGGUGGUAUGAGAUGGACCCGCGUCUGAUUAGCUAGUUGGCGGGGUAACGGCCCACCAAGGCGACGAUCAGUAGCCGACCUGAGAGGGUGACCGGCCACAUUGGGACUGAGACACGGCCCAA